GAUGAACGCUAGCUACAGGCUUAACACAUGCAAGUCGAGGGGCAGCAUGUCGGUUGCUUGCAACCGACGAUGGCGACCGGCGCACGGGUGAGUAACGCGUAUCCAACCUACCCUUGUCCAUCGGAUAACCCGUCGAAAGGCGGCCUAACACGAUAUGCGGUUCUCAGCAGGCAUCUAACGAGAACGAAAUGUGAAGGAGAAGGAUGGGGAUGCGUCUGAUUAGCUUGUUGGCGGGGUAACGGCCCACCAAGGCGACGAUCAGUAGGGGUUCUGAGAGGAAGGUCCCCCACAUUGGAACUGAGACACGGUCCAAACUCCUACGGGAGGCAGCAGUGAGGAAUAUUGGUCAAUGGACGGGAGGUCUGAACCAGCCAAGUAGCGUGCAGGAUGACGGCCCUAUGGGUUGUAAACUGCUUUUAUAGGGGGAUAAAGUGUGCCACGUGUGGCAUAUUGCGAGGUACCCUAUGAUAAGACGGC
rnacentral:rRNA from 1 species